rnacentral:sRNA from 1 species
GAAUUCUAACCGAAGAUCUCUCUCUGUCUACAACAUCCCCACUCCAGGUUAUUGUGGGGACAAUAUAUGAGGCAAUUUCCUCGCAGAGUUCUGACCAGGAAAUGAAGUUGACAUCCUUAUGCUUUGGGCUUUUUUCUCAACCUGUCUCACAUGCCUCCUUUCUAGGUCUUAGGCCAGGAGAGAGGAGAACACACAUCUGAGCACCUGCUCCUCCUGCCUUAUUUUUUAUUCUCCAAAUCCUCUGACGUGGAAAGGGCUUCUGGACUUUGAUUCAGAAUAUCAGGAGCUCUGGGAUUGGCUGAUUGACAUGGAGUCCCUUGUGAUGGACAGCCACGACCUGAUGAUGUCAGAGGAGCAGCAGCAGCAUCUUUACAAGCGAUACAGUGUGGAAAUGUCCAUCAGACACCUGAAAAAGACGGAGCUGCUUAGUAAGGUUGAAGCUUUGAAGAAAGGUGGCGUUUUACUACCAAAUGAUCUCCUUGAAAAAGUGGAUUCAAUUAAUGAAAAAUGGGAACUGCUUGGGAAAACCCUAGGAGAGAAGAUCCAGGACACAAUGGCAGGGCACAGUGGGUCGAGUCCACGUGACCUGCU